AAAUUGAAGAGUUUGAUCAUGGCUCAGAUUGAACGCUGGCGGCAGGCCUAACACAUGCAAGUCGAACGGUAACAGGAARCAGCUUGCUGYUUYGCUGACGAGUGGCGGACGGGUGAGUAAUGUCUGGGAAACUGCCYGAUGGAGGGGGAUAACUACUGGAAACGGUAGCUAAUACCGCAUAACGUCGCAAGACCAAAGAGGGGGACCUUAGGGCCUCUUGCCAUCGGAUGUGCCCAGAUGGGAUUAGCUAGUAGGUGGGGUAAAGGCUCACCUAGGCGACGAUCCCUAGCUGGUCUGAGAGGAUGACCAGCCACACUGGAACUGAGACACGGUCCAGACUCCUACGGGAGGCAGCAGUGGGGAAUAUUGCACAAUGGGCGCAAGCCUGAUGCAGCCAUGCCGCGUGUAUGAAGAAGGCCUUCGGGUUGUAAAGUACUUUCAGCGGGGAGGAAGGGAGUAAAGUUAAUACCUUUGCUCAUUGACGUUACCCGCAGAAGAAGCACCGGCUAACUCCGUGCCAGCAGCCGCGGUAAUACGGAGGGUGCAAGCGUUAAUCGGAAUUACUGGGCGUAAAGCGCACGCAGGCGGUUUGUUAAGUCAGAUGUGAAAUCCCCGGGCUCAACCUGGGAACUGCAUCUGAUACUGGCAAGCUUGAGUCUCGUAGAGGGGGGUAGAAUUCCAGGUGUAGCGGUGAAAUGCGUAGAGAUCUGGAGGAAUACCGGUGGCGAAGGCGGCCCCCUGGACGAAGACUGACGCUCAGGUGCGAAAGCGUGGGGAGCAAACAGGAUUAGAUACCCUGGUAGUCCACGCCGUAAACGAUGUCGACUUGGAGGUUGUGCCCUUGAGGCGUGGCUUCCGGAGCUAACGCGUUAAGUCGACCGCCUGGGGAGUACGGCCGCAAGGUUAAAACUCAAAUGAAUUGACGGGGGCCCGCACAAGCGGUGGAGCAUGUGGUUUAAUUCGAUGCAACGCGAAGAACCUUACCUGGUCUUGACAUCCACGGAAGUUUUCAGAGAUGAGAAUGUGCCUUCGGGAACCGUGAGACAGGUGCUGCAUGGCUGUCGUCAGCUCGUGUUGUGAAAUGUUGGGUUAAGUCCCGCAACGAGCGCAACCCUUAUCCUUUGUUGCCAGCGGUCCGGCCGGGAACUCAAAGGAGACUGCCAGUGAUAAACUGGAGGAAGGUGGGGAUGACGUCAAGUCAUCAUGGCCCUUACGACCAGGGCUACACACGUGCUACAAUGGCGCAUACAAAGAGAAGCGACCUCGCGAGAGCAAGCGGACCUCAUAAAGUGCGUCGUAGUCCGGAUUGGAGUCUGCAACUCGACUCCAUGAAGUCGGAAUCGCUAGUAAUCGUGGAUCAGAAUGCCACGGUGAAUACGUUCCCGGGCCUUGUACACACCGCCCGUCACACCAUGGGAGUGGGUUGCAAAAGAAGUAGGUAGCUUAACCUUCGGGAGGGCGCUUACCACUUUGUGAUUCAUGACUGGGGUGAAGUCGUAACAAGGUAACCGUAGGGGAACCUGCGGUUGGAUCACCUCCUUACCUUAAAGAAGC
rnacentral:rRNA from 1 species